GUAGGGGUGCCUGAUGAGAAAGGGUGCUGGUUCUUUCUUAUAUCAUAUCCCCUGCCUGCCUCAGCUGGGCUCUGACCCAGCCAGCAGACUGGAGUCCUCUUCUGCAUGGUAUAUUCUUUCCUGAGACUUUUGUUUCAAUUAGAUAAGGAAACUGAGGCUUAGAGGAGUUAUGAAACUGCCCAAGGUUUCACAGUUGAAAUGUAUAAGGACCUGGACUUGCAAAUUUCGCACAAAAUUCUUCUAAUAAGAAGGCCAUAAAAUAACCAAAUGAUUUUUUACGUGCCUAUAGAACCAAAAGAACUAUUUCAGAAUGUCAGCUGAAAAGCACGAUAUUCCACAUAGCUUAGAAACCUUGGCAUAGUGCCUUCCUGGAAAUCCUGGAUUGCAUCUAAAACCAUGUGGCAGAGGGAGAAACCACAGACAGGCCAUCCUGAGAAGACUCAGGCUGGGACAAAAGCUCUGCUCUCCAGGGACAAAGCAGCAGGGGACAAGCCAUGCUCAGAAAUAUUCCACUGGCCAGUGCACAUUUUUUUGAGAAAUUUCACUUGCUUCCACACCACCUGCCCCCCUAACACUUCUAUUAUAGUGGCAAAUAAAUCCAAUACCCAA